UACGGGGGGAGCAAGCGUUGUUCGGAUUUACUGGGCGUAAAGCGUAUGCAGGCGGAUCGUUAAGUCGGGGGUGAAAUCCCGAGGCUCAACCUCGGAACUGCCUUCGAUACUGGCGAUCUUGAGUCCGGGAGAGGUGAGUGGAACUCCGAGUGUAGAGGUGAAAUUCGUAGAUAUUCGGAAGAACACCAGUGGCGAAGGCGGCUCACUGGCCCGGUACUGACGCUGAGAUACGAAAGCGUGGGGAGCAAACAGG
rnacentral:rRNA from 1 species